UUAAAAUGGGGAUGGCCAUAUACUAAACUAUAGGGUUACUGAGAACAUUACAUGAGUCAAUGAAUGUGUGCUGAUGUUCAAAGAUGUGGGGGAAGAGAUUCUCUAGAAGCAAGGAGCAGCACAAACAAAGCAAAGGGAAUGUGCAUCUGAGAAAAUAAGUGGUCUGGAUCCACUGAUGAGAGGAAAGGAUUAAUAAAAGAGGAUGUCAUUCAAUCCGAAAGCCUUAGAGAUCCAUCCCAACUCCAAGCCUGUAUGGUGGUAUGGGGUGGAUAGAGAUGAUGUCCCACAAAGCAGAAGUACAGAACGGGAGUGAAACGAGACCCAACAACAGAGAGGAAAGAUUAACAGGAAGUCCUUGCUUAGGUUGGUAAGAAGGUAAGUCUUGGGGUUGGAAUGACAAAGGGAAAAAGGAGACUAAGUAUUAAAAAUAU
rnacentral:lncRNA from 1 species